rnacentral:rRNA from 1 species
AUGGAGGCAGCCGCCGGCGCGGCGGGCUCGCUCCUCGGCAAGCUGCUCACGAAGCUGUCCGACGACCUGGUGGCCGCGUAUGUCGACAGCCUCGAGCUCGGCCACAACUCCGACCAGAUCCAAACCAAGCUGCUUCACACACAAGGGCUGCUGCAACUCGCCGAGGGGAGGGACGCGAGCAACGUCCCUGCCCUGCCGGCCUUGUUGGAGAAGCUGAGCAAGAAGGCCGACGAGGCGGAGGACGUGCUGGAUGAGCUCCACUACUUCAAGAUCCAGGACCAGCUCGACGGCACCGACUAUGCCGCGCCAGAUCUCGGCGAUGGCCUCCUCGGCCAUGCUCGUCAUGGUGGCCAUGCUGCUCGCCACACUAUCGGUAACUGGUUUCCAUGCUUUUCUUGCUCGCGUGCCCAAGAUGAUGGUUCUGCAACUACUGCUGCUGUCAAUAGCCCACACCACAUUGCUAGUGCUGAUGAUGGUGGCGAUGUCAAUAAGUUACAUUUCGACAGAGUCGCCAUGUCCAGCAAAAUCAAGUCAGUGAUAAAGGAAAUACACUCCCUAUGUGAUCCCAUCUCUGAUUUGCUCAGCAAAAUUCCAAGCAGCAGCACAACUGUCACCCUAAAACGGCCCCGCAUAGGGUCCACAAUAAUACAAGAUACACUGCACGGGAGGAAAGACAUUUUUGAGAAAAUUGUCAAUGAUAUCACAAGUGGCACACAUCACGGUCAAACUGUUUCUGUUCUUCCUAUAGUUGGCCCAGGGGGUAUUGGAAAAACAACUUUCACCCAAUACCUGUAUAAUGAUGGUAGGACUGAAGAGCACUUUGCUGUUAUGGUUUGGGUGUGUGUAUCGACUGAUUUUGAUGUGUUGAAGCUCACCCAGCAGAUAAAUAACUGCAUAUCUGCUACUGAAAAUGAAACUGCAAGUGAAACAACCAAUCUAGACCGGCUUCAGAAGUCCAUUGCACAGAGACUUAAGUCCAAAAGGUUCUUAAUUGUCUUGGAUGAUAUAUGGAAAUGCAAUAGUGAGGACGAGUGGAAAACCCUGCUAGCCCCAUUCACAAAGGGGGAAGCCAAAGGCAGCAUGAUACUUGUCACAACUCGAUUCCCAAAACUAGCAAGAAUGAUGAAAACAGUUGAUCCAGUUCAACUGCAAGGCUUGGAGUCUAACGAGUUCUUCACAUUCUUUGAAUCUUGUAUAUUUGGUGAACAUAAGCCUAGGGAUUAUGAACAUGAGUUAGAUGGCAUUGCAAGAGAAAUUGCAAGCAAGUUAAAGGGCUCCCCCCUUGCAGCCAAAACAGUGGGUCGGCUAUUGAAGAAAAAUCUUUCCCGAGAACAUUGGAAUGGAGUUCUUCACAAUCAUGAGUGGCGAAACCAGAAAAAUGAUGACGAUAUUAUACCAGCUUUGAAAAUUAGCUACGAUUUCCUACCAUUCUAUAUGAAAAAAUGGUUCUCAUAUUUUUCCCUUUAUCCUGAAGAUUAUAGGUUUCGUGAUUCUGAAAUUAACCGUUUUUUGAUUGCAAUAGGCAUCAUAGACUCUAGCCACCGAGCCGAUAAGAGGUACAUGGAAGAUCUAGUGGAAAAUGGUUUUCUCAUGAAGCGGGUUAUUUGUUAUCACUCUUUUCGUGAAGAAUACUAUGUAAUGCAUGAUUUAAUGCAUGAGCUAUCCCGGAGUGUCUCUGCACAAGAAUGCCUCAAUAUAAGUGAUCUGGAUUUUAGAGCCGAGGCCAUCCCACAAUCUAUUCGGCACAUAUCCAUCACCAUAGAGAAUAGAUAUGAUGAAAAGUUUAGGAAAGAAAUGGGUAAACUAAAGGGGAGGAUAGACAUUGUAAAUCUACGGACACUGAUGAUUUUUAGACAAUAUGAAGAAUCAAUUGUUGCUAUCUUAAAAGAUAUGUUCAAGGAAACAAAUGGCCUGCGCGUCCUAUUUAUAGCAGUGAAGUCCCUUGAAUCUCUGCCACAAAGCUUUUCAAAACUAAUCCACCUCCAGUACCUCCAAAUUGGAUCACGCAUUGGCAUAGAAAUGACUUUACCUAGCACACUAUCCAGAUUUUAUCACUUGAAAUUCUUGGACCUAAGUAGUUGGUAUGGUAGUUCCAAUUUGCCUAAAGACAUUAGCCGCCUUGUGAAUUUACGCGAUUUCCUCGCUAAAAAAGAACUCCACUCCAAUGUUCCCGAGGUUGGAAAGAUGAAGUAUCUGCAGGAGCUAAAAGAAUUCCAUGUGAAGAAAGAAAGUGUUGGAUUUGAUUUAAGAGAGUUGGGUGAAUUGAGAGACCUUGGGGGAGCACUCAGUAUUCAUAAUCUUGAAAAUGUGACAACCAAGGAAGAAGCUACUGGCGCCAAAUUGAUGUUGAAAAGGGAUUUGAAAGAGUUGACGUUAGUUUGGGGCAGAGAGCAACCUACUGAUGUAGAUGCUGAUAUUCUUGAUGCUCUUCAACCACACUCUAACCUUACAACACUUGGCAUUAUAAAUCAAGGUGGUACCACUUGUCCUAGUUGGUUGUGUCCCGAAAUAUGGGUGAACAAUUUAGAGAUUCUCCAUUUACAUGGCGUGUCUUGGGGAACUCUUCCACCUUUUGGGCAGCUACCAUAUCUCAGGGAACUCAGCUUGAAGAGUAUUUCUGGACUGCAACGGUUUGGUCCUGACUAUGGUGGUGUUACAGGGCAGUUGAAGAAAGUUGUGUUUCAUGACUUGUCAGAUCUUGUCGAGUGGGUUGUGGAACCUAACUGCGAUAUGUUUCCAGGUCUUGAAAGCAUCGAUUGCAGCAAUUGUCCCAAUCUAUGUUUGAUGCCCUUCUCGGAGUGCUCUUUUACCAGUUUGUGCAGGCUUCGCAUUGAUGGUUGCCCCAAGCUGUGUCUGCCUCCCAUGCCUCACACAUCGAGACUAACUGAUUUUGCUGUAAAACAAGACGCAAAAGCAUUCUCAGACAUGUUGUCUUACCAUGGGAAUUCCUUUGUUGUUGGUGGAUAUGCCGGUGCUUUGGCCUUGCAGAAUCUGGGUGAAGUAGAGUUUCUGCGUAUUGGAGAUGCAUCACACAUUUCGUGGGCAGACCUCGAAAACCUUAAAUCCUUGAGAAAAGUUGUGGGUCUCAGUAUAGAUGUAUCUCGUCUUACUGGGACAUUGCUGUCAAAAAUGUUCAAUAGUUGCCCAGCACUUGCUAAACUGUAUGUAAGUUCUUCAUCUGGAGACGAUGAGGAACAAGUAAUACAGUUCCCAUCAUCAGGCUCACUGCAGGCACUUAGCUUCUCCUUCUCGGAUGGCCUGGUUCUUCUGCCCGCGGAGGAUGGAGGGGGAAUCCAGGACAUCACGUCGCUCCAAUCAUUAAGUAUAUCAGGAUGCAGGAAGUUGUUCUCUCGGUGGCCCAUGGGAGAAGCUGGAGGAGCUCCGAUGGCCAACCCUUUCCCUGCAUCUCUCAGGAAACUUGAUAUUUUGGGAGAGUCAAUCAUGUUGUCAAUGGCUCUGCUCUCAAACCUCACGUCUCUCACCCAUCUAAGUCUAGUAGCCUGUGACAAUUUAACACUGGAUGGGUUUAAUCCUCUCAUCACAGUCAACCUCAAGGAAUUGGAGGUCCGGAACUAUUUCUGGAGUGGCAACUCUAUAGCAGCAGAUCUGCUCUCACAGGUGGCAAGGACCGAAUUAAUGCAUGCGGGCUCCUUCCAGUUGGAGAAACUGGUGGUGGAUAGCAUCUCGGCGGUGCUCGUUGCCCCCAUUUGCAGCCACCUCUCCGCCAACCUCCACGAGCUGCAAUUCUAUGAUGAUGAGCGGGCAAAAGGCUUCACGGAAGAGCAAGAGAAUGCGUUUCAUCUCCUCACCUCCCUCCAGACACUAGCAUUUCAUCGUUGCAACGUUCUGCAGUCCCUCCCUCAAGGAUUACAACGCCUUUCUUCUCUCAAAGAAUUACAUGUCUUUAGUUGUCGUCAACUCCGAUGGCUGCCAGAGCAGGGCUUCCCCACUUCGCUGCAAUUUCUACGUCUAUCGUGUGGCACUGCCGAGCAAGAAGAGCAAGCUGAGAAAUUGAAAGGAAUGUACCCAAAUUUAGAAGUAUAUUUGUAG